AGGCAGCAGAACCAUGCCAAGAAAAACCAGUGGAGCCACCAGUGCUGCUGGCUCCUUGUGUCAGCUUCUGCAGCAGCCUCCAAGUGAUGUCCCAGCUGGUGUGGCUGCUGGGUUUGGGUGUCAUGAUGGGUGUCCAGCUCUGCCAGCACUGCUGCUCCUGCUUGUGACCUCUCUGAAUCCCACUGGGGGCUCUGGCAGCAGGAAUCUGCCUCUCCCCUCCCUGCCUGGUGAUGCUUUCAGGGCUCAGCAACGAAGGUGGGCUGUGCUUUCAGAGGUGCAUCAAAAACCUGAAGAGAGAACCCCUGGACCAUUAGAAGAUAUCCUUGACCAUCAUUUGUGGGGAAAUAUCAAUUGGUAGAGCCCAACAAAGAGCAGCUUUGUAAAGAAUCUAGAAAUGAGAAAUACCCAUGUGUUUGAGGUUGUCUCUAGCAGAGAUGUCAGCAAGCUUUGUCCUCAGAACUGUGGGAAACACCCAAGCUCACAAGGACUGAGGGAAAACUGCCAGAAGCAGACACAGAACUUCUCUGGCUUCGCUGGCUUUGAAAUCUGUGACCAGCAUUUGGCAACUUCCUGGGCAUGAGCUUCUGAAUCUGGGUCCAGCUUGGUUCUGGGAAGAUGCUUUGUCCCAGAUGUCAUCAACCCACUGUAGUAUCCCAACAAAACCCUCUUUCUUCCCCUCGGUUUUCCCCACUUGAAAAACCCUCAGUGCUCCAUCUCUGCCUUGCACAGUGA